AAAAAAAACAGUAAAUGUUAUGGAAUCGUAUUUAAUAGUUUAGGUAAUAUUUAGUGCAAAUUCUACAAGGAAAAUAGUUUAUUACAAAUAUACGUCUUGCCAAGGUACAGAACCUUCAUGAGACAUAAAGUAUUUCAUAA
rnacentral:lncRNA from 1 species